UGCUUGCAUCUUGAUUUAAUUUUGAACGAGUGGCGGACGGGUGAGUAACACGUGGGUAACCUGCCCUUAAGUGGGGGAUAACAUUUGGAAACAGAUGCUAAUACCGCAUAAAUCCAAGAACCGCAUGGUUCUUGGCUGAAAGAUGGCGUAAGCUAUCGCUUUUGGAUGGACCCGCGGCGUAUUAGCUAGUUGGUGAGGUAACGGCUCACCAAGGCAAUGAUACGUAGCCGAACUGAGAGGUUGAUCGGCCACAUUGGGACUGAGACACGGCCCAAACUCCUACGGGAGGCAGCAGUAGGGAAUCUUCCACAAUGGACGCAAGUCUGAUGGAGCAACGCCGCGUGAGUGAAGAAGGCUUUCGGGUCGUAAAACUCUGUUGUUGGAGAAGAAUGGUCGGCAGAGUAACUGUUGUCGGCGUGACGGUAUCCAACCAGAAAGCCACGGCUAACUACGUGCCAGCAGCCGCGGUAAUACGUAGGUGGCAAGCGUUAUCCGGAUUUAUUGGGCGUAAAGCGAGCGCAGGCGGUUUUUUAAGUCUGAUGUGAAAGCCCUCGGCUUAACCGAGGAAGUGCAUCGGAAACUGGGAAACUUGAGUGCAGAAGAGGACAGUGGAACUCCAUGUGUAGCGGUGAAAUGCGUAGAUAUAUGGAAGAACACCAGUGGCGAAGGCGGCUGUCUGGUCUGUAACUGACGCUGAGGCUCGAAAGCAUGGGUAGCGAACAGGAUUAGAUACCCUGGU
rnacentral:rRNA from 1 species